AAUGUUUUCACUGUGCACAUACUGUGUAAAAAAACAAAAAACAAAACAAACCCAAACAAACAGAAACCUUUAGAUGACUUUUAUUUAUUACUUAAUUACUUCUGUAUAGUAUGAAUAGCAAUGAGGUAGGUCUUCAGCCAUCAGUAAAAAUUUUGUAAAAUGUAUGAAAAUAGAGUUUGAAGUCCAAACUUUAUGCGCUCAUUCACAUUUUCCAGUACCAUCUAGUGGUUUGGAUUAGAGUCUUUGCCGGGACAAUUCUGGGCCCCGGGCCUUAUGUUUGACAACCCUAUCCGACAGCAUCGAGGGCUCAGCUGAUAAACCUCCCCACAUGUAGCAAAUCUUACAUGCAGCAUGCAGUUUUAUUUCCUUUUUAAAUUGCUGCUGCCCUGCAAUCUGCUUUGCAACCCACCUCCGCUACAGAUGCCUCUUUUCAAGCUCUUCCUGACUUCUUAUAUAACUGAUGCCUGUUCUGUAUUGCGUUAUGCUUGCCGCACUAGUCACUGGCCGCAAGCACUGUGACUUUAAAACCGCCACAAAAACAUUUAUAGCGAUGCUUGAGGCGUGCUUGACUCUGAUGACACAAAAGAAGAAGUUGAAACAGGAAACAAAGCGAUUGCUUAGGUUUUUUUCUUCCUCCACAGAAUGUCUCAUCUUUUCUAACUGAUGCAACACUCUCUCCCUCAGUUUUCUGGAAAUAUCUGUGGUCCUGCAUUAACACUGAAAUGCAUGUAAAGCCAGACCAUUUGUAAGGGUAACAGCACUAAGCAUAAACUGCCAGUUAGGCUUUGCAUGUCCACAUGUACCAUAUCCUCAAAUCACUGCAACAGAAAACAACCAUCUUGUGAAUAAACUAGCCCUGAUUGAGCUGCUAAACCACAGCUUAUUUUUCCACUAUAUUCAUUGACUUUAUUUAUUAAUGCAUCACCACUGCAAAGCACAAAGGCGCACGCGCACAGAGAUGUGGCAGAUCCUCGAAACCUCCAGAGACUGAGCGACUUUGCUGACUGAUGUUCUGAUGCAAUCCGGGGGAAUUAAGGAAGCUUUAAACUGUGACCUCAGUGAUGCUGAUGCUGUGAGGCGAGGGGUGCUGCUCUGUCUGAAGCUGACAAGUUAACACCAGAGGAGGCUGGUGGAAAUGAUAGAGACAGCCCAAUAACCCGAUGAAUUUCCAGUCAGAGCAUCGAAUGAGCAGCAGAGGGAACAACGAGAUGACCUUUGAAAGUCAUAAAAAGGUCCUUCAACCACCAAAUUAAUUUUAUGUGUUGAGGAAAGGGAAGCACGGGCGUCACCUUCUCAGUCAGAUAAAGGAAAACAACAGGAAUCAGAUGCUUAAAUCCACAUCUGGAACAUGUGUUAUGCCAAAGCCAUGUAUAUGAACAGAUGCAGCAACAAGAGAGCAGACAUGACAAAUUACCUCCGCUCUCUGAGGACCGCAGGGGUCGACGAAGCGUGUGUGACUUAUGUAACAUCGUGAUGUAAUGAUGUUGUUUCUCAAAGCCCAGAAAUGUUUUUUUUUUCUCCCCCAAGAGAUAAAGUCCACCGCCCCAGUA